GUCAGCUUGCUUACAUGGUCUGCCCCUGGUUACGUUCCUGGGAUUGGCUUUGCUCUAGUCCCAAGGAGUUUGCUGACCUCCAGUUCAGUUGUAGCUCAAAUGCUUCCCGAAGGAGGAGGCCUGGUCAGAAGAGGUGGGUCACUGAGGAAGUGGCCUGGACGAGAUUAUUUCUGUCUCCCUCUCAGCCUUUCUCUUGGUUUCCUGUGCACCAUGCUCUGAGCAGCUGUUCCUCUGCCAUGUCUUCCUGCCUCAGAGCCAGGUGAUUAUGGUCUGAAAUCUCUACAAUCUGUAAGCCAAAAUAGACCUUUCCUCCUCUAAACAUGGCUACCACUGGAUUUUGCUGUCCAGCUUCCACAUUCUUUGCUAGAACACUUCUGAUGUAUUUUGCAAAAUUCUUCCUGCCUACAUCCCCAGAGCUAGGAUGGAGCACAUAUCCGGAAGACUCACCAGCUGCAUUCCUCAGCUUCUGAUCCAGCUGGAAAUUUUCAGAUCCUCUUGGAGCUAUGUCUUGCUUUUCAUACUUCCUCCUGGUUUGAAACCCUCGAGGCAGCAUUGUUGGAUUGUGUCAACAGAGUCUGCACAACUCAGGUCUACUUCAAAUGAUUUUACACAUAAAAAUACUUAUGACUACAAAAUAAACCUGUUAUAAUGAAAUGUCAUACUGGAAAUAGAAAUACUUCUCCUAUGGUUUUGCAUUAUAAUGAUGUGUACUUCUCUAAUAAAUGCAUUAUACAAGAUCCACUGGUAUGUUCUGUAACAAUGAUAAUUUUUUAUUUUAAAAUGAAAAAGUAGGGGCUGGGAAUGUAGCUCAGCGGCAUAAGCGCCUGCCUUGCAAGCAGGCAGUCGUGAGUUUGAUCCCUGGUACCGAUAAAAAUGAAAAAGACAAAAAAAAAAAAAAAAAA